GAUGAACGCUGGCGGCGUGCCUAAUACAUGCAAGUCGAGCGAACAGACGAGGAGCUUGCUCCUCUGACGUUAGCGGCGGACGGGUGAGUAACACGUGGAUAACCUACCUAUAAGACUGGGAUAACUUCGGGAAACCGGAGCUAAUACCGGAUAAUAUAUUGAACCGCAUGGUUCAAUAGUGAAAGACGGUUUUGCUGUCACUUAUAGAUGGAUCCGCGCCGCAUUAGCUAGUUGGUAAGAUAACGGCUUACCAAGGCAACGAUGCGUAGCCGACCUGAGAGGGUGAUCGGCCACACUGGAACUGAGACACGGUCCAGACUCCUACGGGAGGCAGCAGUAGGGAAUCUUCCGCAAUGGGCGAAAGCUUGACGGAGCAACGCCGCGUGAGUGAUGAAGGUCUUCGGAUCGUAAAACUCUGUUAUUAGGGAAGAACAAAUGUGUAAGUAACUAUGCACGUCUUGACGGUACCUAAUCAGAAAGCCACGGCUAACUACGU
rnacentral:rRNA from 1 species